UUUUCCGGUUGAUCCUGCCGGAGAUCACUGCUAUCGGAUUGGGAUUAAGUCAUGCAAGUUUGCAACUGUUUGCCUGGCGAACUGCUCCGUAACGCUCAGUAACACGUAGCUAAUCUACCCUUAGGAUGGAGAUAACCCCGGAAAACUGGGGCUAAUAUCCAAUAGAUGAGAAAUUCUGGAAUGACUUCUCGUUCAAAGAUUUCUUAAACCAUGCAUUAAGUUAUGCCUAAGGAUGAGGCUGCGGCCGAUCAGGUUGUUGGUGAGGUAAUGGCUCACCAAGCCUAUAACCGGUACGGGCCGUGAGAGCGGUAGCCCGGAGAUGGGCACUGAGACAAGGGCCCAGGCCCUACGGGGCGCAGCAGGCGCGAAAACUCCACAAUGCGCGCAAGCGUGAUGGGGCUAUCCUGAGUGCAGUCCGCAGAGGAUUGCUUUUCUACAGUGUAAGUAAUUGUAGGAAUAAGGGGAGGGCAAGUCUGGUGUCAGCCGCCGCGGUAAUACCAGCUCCCCGAGUGGUGGGGAUGAUUAUUGGGCCUAAAGCGUUCGUAGCCUGCUUAAAAAGUCUUCUGUUAAAUCCAGCGACCUAAUCGUUGGUCUGCAAAAGAUACUUUUGGGCUAGAGGGCGGAAGAAGCCGACGGUACUCUUGGGGUAGGGGUGAAAUCCUAUAAUCCUAGGAGGACCACCAGUGGCGAAGGCGGUCGGCUAGAACGCGCCUGACGGUGAGGGACGAAAGCUGGGGGAGCGAUCCGGAUUAGAUACCCGGGUAGUCCCAGCUGUAAACGAUGCAAGCUAGGUGUUGGCAUAACUACGUGUUAUGUCAGUGCCGUAGGGAAGCCGUUAAGCUUGCCGCCUGGGGAGUACGGUCGCAAGACUGAAACUUAAAGGAAUUGGCGGGGGAGCACCACAAGGGGUGAAGCUUGCGGUUCA
rnacentral:rRNA from 1 species